rnacentral:rRNA from 1 species
UGAAGCUAAGCAUGAAGCCCCCCUCAAGAUGAGAUUUCCCAACUUCGGUUAUAAGAUCCCUCAGAGAUGAUGAGGUUAAUAGGUUCGAGGUGGAAGCGUGGUGACACGUGGAGCUGACGAAUACUAAUCGAUCGAAGACUUAAUCAA